rnacentral:lncRNA from 10 species
CUCCUAACCUCAUGAUCCUCCCACCUCGGCCUCCCAAAGUGCUGGGAUUACAGGCGUGAGCCACCGCACCCAGCUGACAUGAAGGUUUGCAUUCUGCUUUUCCUUUCUGGAGCAUUUACAAGACAGGAGCAAGUGCUUCUGAAACAGACUUUUUAAUUAGCUCUUUGCCUUUGAGAACCUCUCACAGCACGUUCCAUCUGCCUUCUCUUUGAAUUUCUUGCAGUCAUCUAGGCUGGUGUGAAGCUAACGCAGGCCAGGCCACGAGCUCUGUUCUCAGGACCCCUGCGGGGGGACGUGGUCACUUCUGCAGUCACUGGCUGUGUGUGCCUCUUGGUCAGGAUGAAGUCCAAUCAUCAGUUCCACUCAUCGUCGCUUCCUGUCCCUUCGUCUGCACACAUGUCUGGAGGAGACGGCCCAGGACCUCUGGCUUUGCUUCUCCCCAGGAGAAGGUGCCAGUUAAACCCGCAGGAGAGGGACUCAGUGGUGGCCUUCCAAGAGGCCAGGCAUGGACACAAGCACCUCUCCCUCCACAUGGUAGCAGCCAAAGCAAACCACAGGCCAGCACAGCUCCAGGCAAGAGAUGAGGACAAGCCACCAACCCGGCCUGCUCCAAACGCCAAGCCCUGCUGUGACCC